ensembl:snRNA U6 U6 spliceosomal RNA
GUACUCACUUCGGCAGCCCAUACCCUGAAACUGGACCCAUACAGAGAAAGUUAGCACGGCUCCUACCCAAGGAUGACACUCAAAUUCGUGACACGUUCCGUGUUUUG